CCACAACAACUUUAACUCCAACAACUCCUCCAGUCAUCUAUUGGUACAUGCUUUAUGUGGAGCUGAACUCCACAGAUGCUACAGCUGUAGAAGAGCUGAGGAGCAUCAACUAUCCCGUCAGCAUCAACAGGAACGUACAGAUCUCUGAUGUUAACAUUAGUACUGUCUGCUCUCCAAUCACUGGUGAUUACCAGUGCAGAUGUGAGGAUCAGUAUCGUUGGCCAUGUGACCAGUGUGUAACAUAUGGAUCAUGUGACAACAUCACUGGUGACAC